UGUUGUUUUGCCUGGAACCAGCUUCC
rnacentral:piRNA from 1 species